GCUAAUACAUGCAAGUCGAGCGGACAGAAGGGAGCUUGCUCCCGGAUGUUAGCGGCGGACGGGUGAGUAACACGUGGGUAACCUGCCUGUAAGACUGGGAUAACUCCGGGAAACCGGAGCUAAUACCGGAUAGUUCCUUGAACCGCAUGGUUCAAGGAUGAAAGACGGUUUCGGCUGUCACUUACAGAUGGACCCGCGGCGCAUUAGCUAGUUGGUGGGGUAAUGGCUCACCAAGGCGACGAUGCGUAGCCGACCUGAGAGGGUGAUCGGCCACACUGGGACUGAGACACGGCCCAGACUCCUACGGGAGGCAGCAGUAGGGAAUCUUCCGCAAUGGACGAAAGUCUGACGGAGCAACGCCGCGUGAGUGAUGAAGGUUUUCGGAUCGUAAAGCUCUGUUGUUAGGGAAGAACAAGUGCGAGAGUAACUGCUCGCACCUUGACGGUACCUAACCAGAAAGCCACGGCUAACUACGUGCCAGCAGCCGCGGUAAUACGUAGGUGGCAAGCGUUGUCCGGAAUUAUUGGGCGUAAAGGGCUCGCAGGCGGUUUCUUAAGUCUGAUGUGAAAGCCCCCGGCUCAACCGGGGAGGGUCAUUGGAAACUGGGAAACUUGAGUGCAGAAGAGGAGAGUGGAAUUCCACGUGUAGCGGUGAAAUGCGUAGAGAUGUGGAGGAACACCAGUGGCGAAGGCGACUCUCUGGUCUGUAACUGACGCUGAGGAGCGAAAGCGUGGGGAGCGAACAGGAUUAGAUACCCUGGUAGUCCACGCCGUAAACGAUGAGUGCUAAGUGUUAGGGGGUUUCCGCCCCUUAGUGCUGCAGCUAACGCAUUAAGCACUCCGCCUGGGGAGUACGGUCGCAAGACUGAAACUCAAAGGAAUUGACGGGGGCCCGCACAAUCGGUGGAGCAUGUGGUUUAAUUCGAAGCAACGCGAAGAACCUUACCAGGUCUUGACAUCCUCUGACAACCCUAGAGAUAGGGCUUUCCCUUCGGGGACAGAGUGACAGGUGGUGCAUGGUGUUCGUCAGCUC
rnacentral:rRNA from 1 species